AUGUGCAUCCCGAAGGAGAAAGGUGGUAUGGGGUUUCGAGAUAUCCAUUGCUUUAACUUGGCCAUGCUUGCCAAGCAAUGCUGGAGGCUAAUUGAAAAUUAUGACUCACUGUGUGCUAAAGUACUUCGUGCAAGAUACUACCCUACUAGUGACAUCCUUAAUAGCACACUAAAGAAAGGAUCUUCUUUUGUUUGGCAGAGCAUAUUUGCUGGGAUCCAAACUUUUAAGAAGGGACACAUUUGGAGAGUUGGUGAUGGCCUCAAGAUAAACAUAUGGGAGGACUGUUAG
rnacentral:rRNA from 1 species